CGAAUGCUGACAUAAGUAACGAUAAAGCGGGUGAAAAGCCCGCUCGCCGGAAGACCAAGGGUUCCUGUCCAACGUUAAUCGGGGCAGGGUGAGUCGACCCCUAAGGCGAGGCCGAAAGGCGUAGUCGAUGGGAAACAGGUUAAUAUUCCUGUACUUGGUGUUACUGCGAAGGGGGGACGGAGAAGGCUAUGUUGGCCGGGCGACGGUUGUCCCGGUUUAAGCGUGUAGGCUGGUUUUCCAGGCAAAUCCGGAAAAUCAAGGCUGAGGCGUGAUGACGAGGCACUACGGUGCUGAAGCAACAAAUGCCCUGCUUCCAGGAAAAGCCUCUAAGCAUCAGGUAACAUCAAAUCGUACCCCAAACCGACACAGGUGGUCAGGUAGAGAAUACCAAGGCGCUUGAGAGAACUCGGGUGAAGGAACUAGGCAAAAUGGUGCCGUAACUUCGGGAGAAGGCACGCUGAUAUGUAGGUGAAGUCCCUC
rnacentral:rRNA from 1 species